GACGACGCUGGCGGCGUGCUUAACACAUGCAAGUCGAACGGAGAUAGACGAAUCAGUUUACUGAAUCUUCUAUCUUAGUGGCGGACGGGUGAGUAACGCGUGGGUAACCUACCCUGAACACCGGGACAACAGCUGGAAACGGCUGCUAAUACCGGAUAAUCUCGUUGAGAGGCAUCUCUUAAUGAGGAAAGGUGGCCUCUGAAUAUGCUACCGAUUUGGGAUGGACCCGCGUCUGAUUAGCUAGUUGGUAAGGUAGAGGCUUACCAAGGCUUCGAUCAGUAGCCGGCCUGAGAGGGUGACCGGCCACACUGGGACUGAGACACGGCCCAGACUCCUACGGGAGGCAGCAGUGGGGAAUCUUCCGCAAUGGGCGCAAGCCUGACGGAGCAACGCCGCGUGAAUGAAGAAGGCCUUCGGGUCGUAAAGUUCUGUCGUAAGGGAAGAAGUCUCUCUAUGUGAAUAAUGUAGAGAGGUGACGGUACCUUUCGAGGAAGCUCCGGCUAACUACGUG
rnacentral:rRNA from 1 species